rnacentral:rRNA from 1 species
AGCGAGAAAAGGGGAGCAUCCCUGAGUUAGCGGGCACGGGUGAGUAACACGUGGGUAAUCUGCCUGGAGUGGGGAAUAACACCGGGAAACCGGUGCUAAUACCGCAUACGAUCGCAAGGUCUGCGGACUUUGUGAUGAAAGGAGCAAUUCGCUCCAGGAGGAGCCCGCGGCUGAUUAGCUAGUUGGUGAGGUAAUGGCUCACCAAGGCAACGAUCAGUAGCCGGUCUGAGAGGACGGUCGGCCGCGACUGGAACUGUGACACGGUCCAGACUCCUACGGGAGGCAGCAGUGGGGAAUCUUUGGCAAUGGGGGCAACCCUGACCAAGCAACGCCGCGUGGGUGAUGAAGUCUCUUGGGACGUAAAACCCUUUCGACGGGGAAGAAACCGCAAGGUUGACGGUACCCGUACAAGAAGCCCCGGCUAACUCCGUGCCAGCAGCCGAGGUACUACGGGGGGGGCAAGCGUUGUUCGGAAUUACUGGGCGUCAAGGGCGCGUAGGCGGUUCGUCAAGUCGGAUGUGAAAACUCUGG